rnacentral:lncRNA from 1 species
GCCAGACCCUAUGGCUGAAGUAAACCCUAUCCAGGCCACAGGGGAUAGGCCUAGUUGAACACCUAAAGGGGCCACUGAGGACAGUUGGAGCGAAGACACAAGUCAGCAGCGCCUCUCUGCCGCCUCCCUCCCACUUCCCCUCUCCCUCCCCCUCAGAUGAGUGGCCAGAGGGCCCAGACUAUGAGGGGUAGGGGGAGAAAUGAAAAGAAAAGGGGCAAAAAUAAGAGAGCUGACGAUGGGCAUCCAAGCGUUGUAAGAGUUUUGGAAAUGAAGGAUCUGGAGGGAGAAUUGGUCAAUGGAUGCGUCAGCCUCCGAGCUGUACUCAGAGGACGGGGACAAAGACGGGAAAGGCCGAGAAAUGCACCGGCCAACGGCCAUCCGCUCUCCCAGAGUCCCCGAGGCCCCGCACUCCUGCUACUCCGCGUGAUUUUGUCGCCCCCUGCGGCCACCGGGCCCGUGCCUCUCUCCUCCCUGGAGCCCCUCGACUCAGCUUGAAGCCAGGUAUGUGGUUUGACUUAGAUCAGGCCUCCUCUCCCCAAGUGUCGCCAGUAUCCUGCGUUUCCUGUCCGAGGCGCAGAGCUAGCGCCUAAGGUGCUAGAAGAGAGAGGAUGAUUUGCGGGGUGCGCUGUGGUGCGGCCAGGCCAGGAGAACAGGGGCCCCCUGGGAAACUGGGAGAGCCCCAAACUUCCCCAAAUGCCUACUCUUCUAGACCUAGUCUGGGGUGCUGGGACUCAAGACACGGCCCAGGAACUCAGUCUGGCCGGGAGACUGCUGUGCAGGCAGCACCCCACAGAGAGCCUAGUGCUGAGGCAUCUGAUCUGGGACGGGUGGCCUGGACAACCUCUCCAUAGAGAGGUCAGAUGUGAGAUGGCCUUUGAGAAAGUUAGGAUUUAAUUCCUGAUCGCUGUUGGUCAUUUGAGGCUGGCUGUCCUUCUGGUCACCUUACCUGGAUCUUCUGUUGUCUUUGUGUAACGUGACCCACCAGGAAGCUGUCUUAAUCGAUUUCUUCAAAAACCUCUACCUAAAAACUUGGGUCAGCCUGCCUGCCUGGUCCAGUGUCUCUGCUAAGGGCCAGACCCACAUCUCAACUUUCCAGCUGCUUGCCAGACUUGCCACAAACACUGCAACUCCCAAAGGCCCCAGACUGAAUGAGCACUGGACCCCUUGGCCAGUUGCAUCUCAGCUUCCUCAUUCCUGAGACCAACACAUCUACCUCCCCAGCCCCUAGCUCUGAACACUUAACUCCUUCUUGUCUCCUUUUCCUUUCUUCUCUUUGAGUCAGGUAUUGAGUUGAUCUCAAAUGCCCUAAUUCCACAUGACCCCAGUCUGGUGGUUUUCCAGCAGGGAUUCCAUGCUGCUUCCCCUGCUCUGGUAGGACUUGGCAAAAAGUUCUUUUAGGAGCUCCUUGAGCUCUCACCUCUGGAUUUAUCUUCCAUGCAGGCACUGGCUCUGCCACCUAGCCCACAGCUGACACUAACCCUGCUAAGGUUCCUGGGGUGUGGCCACUCCCAGGGGCUGGCUGGACUGCCAGAGGCUCCCUGAAGCCAGACAAGUGUGAAAACUCUCUGCUCUUUGAGCUGAGGCCCCAAAACACACUAAAGGAGCUGGACCUUUCUGGCAUAACAGGUUCUGCAAAGAGCACAGGGUGAGCGACCUGCAUGGGUAUCAGGUGCUCGGCUUACCACUAAAAAAGCAUCCUUGAGGAGUUCUCGUCGUGGCUCAGUAGUUAAUGAAUCUGACUAAGAACCAUGAGGGUGCAGGUUCAACCCCUGGCCUUACUCAGUGGGUUAAGGAUCCGGCGUUGCCGUGAGCUGUGGUGUAGGUUGCAGAUGAGGCUUGGAUCCUGUGUUGCUGUGGCUGUGGUGUAGGCCGGCGGCUAUAGCUCUGAUUAGACCCCUAGCCUGGGAACCUCCACAUGCUGCAAAUGCGGCCUUAGAAAAAAAAGACCAAAAAAAAAAAAAAAAAAAGCAUCCUUGAGACAAGUUAAGGUCAAUAAGAAAAUGUACACAUAUUUUCUUAUCCAGUUGAGCUGUUUUUAUUGAGUGAACUCAGAAUCCUUUGUUAGUAAUUCAAAUAUAAGAUAGAAUUUUCAAGGCCUUUUUUGAGGAAACAUCUUUGUAUUCAAACAGUUACCCAUUCCUGUAGAUGCAGCAGAAGUCAACAUGGGUGGCAUGAGCCAGAGUAAACAGGGCUUACAAGCUCAGAUCAGAAAGCUAGGAAGAGGAGUUCCCAUCUUGGCACAGCGGAAACAAAUCCAACUAGGAACCAUGAGACUGCAGGUUUGAUCCCUGGCCCCGUGAUCUAUGAUGUAGGUCACAGACAUGGCUCCAAUCCAGCAUGCCUGUGGUGUAGGCCAGUAGCCAUAGCUCCUAUGCCACUGGUACAGCCCUAAAAAGCAAAAAAAAAAAAAAAAAAAAAAAAAAAAAAAAGGCUAGGAAGAGUCACAACAUUGUAGAUCACUAUACUGUAAUAAAAAAUUUUUUAAAUACUUUUGAAAUAUUUUUUAAAAUUAAAAAAAAUACUUUACAUUAAAAAAAAAAUACUGUGGCUCCCAGAGUUCCCACUGUGAUGCAACAGGAUUGGUAGCAUCUUGGGAGCACUGGCACGCAGUGGAUUAAGGAUCCAGGUAGCUGCAGCUGCAGCUUACUUAGGUCAUGACUAUGGCUUGGAUCUGAACCCUGGCCUGGAAACUCCAUAUGCGUUGGAGCGGCCAAAAACGAGAAAAUAAAGUGUCUGAUUAAACAGUUUAUGUAGGUUUUAUUGGAUUUUUUUUCCUUUUUUAUUUUUUUUUUUUUUUUUUUUUUUUUUUUUUUUUUUUUAAGUUUAGGGAAGAGAGAGGGCUAGUGUCUGGUUGCUAGGGGUUUACCUAGAGUAGGUGACAGUCCUCCAGGGGCUGCUCCUCAGGGUGGCUUCUUGUCUUUCUGAAGUCAUAGAAACUGCUCUGCAAAAGUGGUCCCAAGCUUGAGUGUGAGGACCAACCUGCAAGGCUGGCCUUAGUGGGCACAAAGAUGCCACCAGGUGGGUUCUGGUACCAGGUCAGCUAAGACACCCCCCCUCCCCCGGGAAUGUUGCAGGUACUGCCUCUCCCUUCUAGGAAACACCAUAUCCUCCCACCACUGACCUCCCUACCUUCCCUAACCAGCAAUCUGCAGCAUCUGGGAUGUUGGUGAUCCUGGGCUUCAGAAGUAUCUAGGAGACUCAGAUAAGCCUGUUUUUCAGUUUCCACCCCAGCUCUGGGCCACCUUCCUCUGUACUCCCCAUCAAGCAGCUCAGGGAAGGCAAGCCCCUACCCCCUCCAGUCCCUAUAGCCCAUAGGGAGCUCCUGGUUCCAAGACUCAAAGCUGCUUUCACCCUUAUCCAGGCACACCCACCCAGUCCCUCCCCUCACUCCUCCUCCUGGCACUGGGGAAGUAUUGAUUUCUGGCUAUUCCUGCUCCAAGCUGGGCUUGCCCGCUCCUUUGGUUCCCAACAACUGGAGUCACAUGAUCAGUGUGCAUGGUGGCAACUGCCUCACUCAUUCUGUCCCCUUCCUCAGAAAAGACAAGUAGGGAGAGAAGAGUGGCUAGAAGCAAAGGUGCCCUCUUCCUUCCUACCCCCCAUCUACUCCUUGUAAGGCUGCUCCAUUCCUUGUCAUUCAACAAAUAUUUAUCAUCAUUACCUGCCAGGCACUGACGGUACAGAGAUGUGUAAGCGCAGGGCCUGUCCUCAGGAAGCUCAGGGGUGGAUAUGGGGAGACUGAAUCACUAGUACACGGCCGCCAAUCAAUGUAGGGUUGACUGCUGUGAUGGGGGAAGCUCAGGAACCGCUGGGAACCCGAAAGGUCAGGAGACCUCUAAGCUGAGCCCUGUAGGAGCAAGAGUGGCAGGACAAAGAGACCGGUGAGCCUGUCAUUCCUAGACAAAAGGCAGAGGCUCCCAAGCAGGGGACAUAUUAUCCAGGAAUCUGCCAGUAUUUUGAAGCGGCGGGGAGGGGGGGUCACCAUUUACCACAGUGGAGUCUGGGCUUUGUUGGAGGCUUCAGGCAUCUGGGGGGUGGGUGGGGUUAAACUGGCUUUCAGCAGGGUUUGCUUCUAGGAAAUCGAUUCUGGCUGCAGUAAGUUUGGAGGCAGGCCCAGAUUCCAGGCAGGGAUCUGACUCUUACCAGCUGUGUGCCUCUGGGCAAAUCAUUUCUCCCUCAGAACCUCGGUGUCCUCAUCUGUAAAAAUGCAGACAGCACUUGUGAGGGUCAAGAUAAAUAUUUAUUGAAAGCACCUGGAGCACAACCAGCCCAGAGGGAGGGAGGAAGGCUCUGAAGCUGCUCCUGCCACCUGACCCGGCCUCCCCCACCUCCUUUCUUUGUUGGCCUGCGAUCUCGGACUUGAUCUCGGAUCUUGACCAUUGUUUAUCAGGGAAAGAUCACAGGGAGAAGCUAACAAAGCUGCCAGGAAGCAGCCUGGGUGGGACAGGCUGGGGGAGGGAAGGAGCAUGGGUACAUGCAGCGCUCCAGAAGGUGCCAGGGUAGAGCCAGGGCUGCUAGCCAAGAGCGCGCCCCAGCGGGGAAUGGGCUAGUCGCCAAGAAUAAGUGAACUAAGGCCCUCACCCUCCAUAGUGGCUCCCUUGGUCCUACUGCCCUUGCUAGCCCCGACUAAGGGGGUGACAAAUGCUGGCGCCAAGGAUCCUGUGGCCAGAGAGAGGAUGUGUAAGCACCAGGCCCUCUGUGAUGGAGGGGCCAGCAGGCUGCCCCAACCCUUCCCAGGAGCGCCUCACCCACCGCACCACGUCUGCUCUUCCAGGCCAGCCUCGGCCCUCGUCGGAGCCAUGGAGGCCCUGGGUCCUGGAGGCGACCGCGCCUCCCCAGCCUCAUCCCCUCG